AAUACUAGAUUGCUGCUACUGUUUUCAUUAUUUGUUCUAUUACUUAUGCCACACAAUUGUUUCAUGUCUAGGAAAAAUGUGAAAAGGUCCGAAUGAACCGAUCAAAAGUUAAGUUGCAUGGGUGUACUGGAUCUCGGUCUUACAUUGCGGCAGCCUACGCCGCGAAGCAAGAAAAAUACAAAGAUAUAUAGCCCACUGCAAUUGAUCUAUUCAAGUUGACGCAUUGCAGUAAAACUAAGGAUUUAAGUGAUGAUGCCAAGAAAGCUGCAGAUGAUAUGGAAGCCAUUUUGACAAGACCAGUACAACAAGGGGAGCAGGAAAAUACUUGCACAGAGAUUGUUUCCCAAGUGUUGUCAAAGUCAAGCACAUUCCUUCGUAAUGUGGGACUUCGGCAGACUGUUGCUGCUCCAAAAUCCGUAUCACCGCAGAUGCAGGAGCUACGAGCUCAAUUGGAGACUGAGAAAGAAGAAUCUGCAGGACUUCGACAAAAGCUCGAGAAGAUGGAAGCACAGGCAGAAGAAUCUAAGGCAAAAGCUCAGAAACAAGUUGAGGAGACUGACAUCUUGGAGAAGAAAAUAGCAGAAACUGAGAACCUUGUUCGGCAGAUGAUAGCAUUUGGACAGAGUCAAGUCACUCAUCAGACCACUCUCCCUUGACUUGGUUGUGUUCAGGUUGUUCAACUCAUUUUGCCGAUCUAUGAAUGGAGUUCGGGUGUGACUAUGACUAUAGUCUGGAACCAUGUUUCUUUGCUUUUGGCGUGAGUAGAGUGUGGUUUGGUGAUGACAUAAACUUGUGCUUCUUGUUCUUGCCGUGACAUGCAAUGUGACUGGAGUGUGGCUAUGGUUGUUGGUGAAAAAGUGAUGACUAAAACUUUUCAUGCUGCUAUUGAUGUAUGGUUGGUCAUAUAGAACUUUGUUGGACCAAUUUUAUUGUGAUUCAUGUGUAUGGCUAGUGAAAGGUUAGAACUAUUGUAUGAACCAUUCUAUCGAUGUCGCUCUGUUGAGCUAUUGUAUGGCUGAUAUGAACCAUCAAUUUUAGAGGAAAU